rnacentral:rRNA from 1 species
GCACCAGACUCCUACGAGAGGCAGCAGUGGGGAAUAUUGGGCAAUGGGCGCAAGCCUGACCCAGCAACGCCGCGUGAGGGAAGAAGGCUUUCGGGUUGUAAACUUCUUUUAAGAGGGAAGAGUAGAAGACGGUACCUCUUGAAUAAGCCACGGCUAACUACGUGCCAGCAGCCGCGGUAAUACGUAGGUGGCAAGCGUUGUCCGGAUUUACUGGGUGUAAAGGGCGUGUAGCCGGGUUGACAAGUCAGAUGUGAAAUCCUGCGGCUUAACCGCAGAACUGCAUUUGAAACUGUUCCCCUUGAGUGUCGGAGAGGUAAUCGGAAUUCCUUGUGUAGCGGUGAAAUGCGUAGAUAUAAGGAAGAACACCAGUGGCGAAGGCGGAUUACUGGACGAUAACUGACGGUGAGGCGCGAAAGCGUGGGGAGCAAACAGGAUUAGAUACCCCUGUA